rnacentral:rRNA from 1 species
CUUGAAUGCACCCGAUCUUGUCUCAUCUUGGAAGCUAAGCAAG